CCUACGGGAGCAGCAGUGGGGGAUAUUGCACAAUGGGGGGAACCCUGAUGCAGCGACGCCGCGUGGGUGAAGAAGCGCCUCGGCGCGUAAAGCCCUAUCAGCAGGGAAGAAAAUGACGGUACCUGACUAAGAAGCCCCGGCUAACUACGUGCCAGCAGCCGCGGUAAUACGUAGGGGGCAAGCGUUAUCCGGAUUUACUGGGUGUAGAGGGAGCGUAGACGGCAGUGCAAGUCUGAAGUGAAAGGCAAGGGCUCAACCCUUGGACUGCUUUGGAAACUGUGCUGCUGGAGUGUCGGAGAGGCAAG
rnacentral:rRNA from 1 species